CUUGGCCUUUCCUACUGUCACUUGGGGUGAGCUGACUAUGCCCCAUCCAAGUCCUUUUUACUUAUGCACUCAUCCUGUAUUCCCCACCUACUCAGAAUGUGUCUGCCUUCAGUAAGUCCCCUCAAGCUCCUGCAUCAUCACGGUUCCUCUCCAGCGGACCAGUUAUACUGGCACGAAUCAUGCAGCUGUCCCUCCCAUCUUCACCGCCCUCUCCAUCUCUCUUCCAUGUUGCUCUAUCCCUAAUUAUAGCAAAAUCCAUGGAAAGUGUUAUAGAGACCCACUUUCUGUAAUUUUUCCUAUUCUAUUUUAAAGUCACUCCCAAAGUACAUGCCAAUGUGGCUAUAGUCUCCACCACUGCACCUAAAUUACCCUUGCUGAGGUCAUCAGCAGCCUCCAUGUGGCCAGCCAAACCCAGUGCUGUCUGUCUCUGCUCUCCUCUUAUUUGACUCAUGUGAACACAUAAAUGAUCCAAACUGCAACACUCCUAAUAAAUGAAAGGAAGCAUAUUAGUUGUACCUGGACAAUAGAUAUAAAUUGGAACUGUUUUAGGAAAGCAGAUGUACAGCCAUCCUACCUUUAGGCACUUGCUGUUGGAUGUAAUUGAUCACUCUCUCUUCCUUGGGACCUUUCCUCCCUUGGCUCCACUAUCUCCACUCUCUGGUUUCCUCUGCUUUGGCUGCUGAUUUUGCUUAAUCCUCUGUCCUCUGAAUUAUUGCUUCUCCACCAUGAGUGGUUUUGCUCCUCAGGGGGCAUUUGGCAAUGUCUGGAGAUGUCUGGUUGUGUUUGAAGGUGUUGCUACUAGCAUCUAGAGGGGAGAGGCUAGAGAUGCUGCUAAUGCCCAGGACAGUCCCCGUAACACAGAAUUAUUCAGCUCAUAAUGUCCACAAUGCCAAGAUCAAGAAACCCUGCUCAAAUAAUUAGCAUGUGCUGAAGGCCCUUCUCUUUCCUUAAUCAAUAUCUACCUCCUUAGGGAUCUUUUCUAGUCUCAGUGGUUUAGUAUUUAAAAUCCCAAAUUAGGCAAUAAAUUGGGUCGCAAACUUCAUUAGUAUAAAAUGUAGAAUUGUGUUAUUAGGAGGUUAAUAAAACGACCUGGUGAGCACCUGCAGCUGGCCUGUGAGCAAUUCUGGGGACUACUUGCGAGACAAAUCCAUCUGUUCCCUUGCUGCAAUGUGGCGCCACCUUGUGGCAGUUGUUUCCUCAGGUUAAAUAUCUUUGGGGAUGCUACUUGACGUGAUUAAAGGCUGUAUGAGGCCAGCGCAUGGUGAUAAAGGUAUUUAUCAAGACAAUAAUGAAUUUAGAAAGGCAGACUUAUUUAGAGAAAGAGAGAGAUACUUUGCAAGGGAGCAAUGGACAAUACAGUAGAGGGAAGGCUGUCUGCAAAGAAGCAGGGGUUGGAGGGGAGUUUUAUGACUUUAGGUUGCUUAGGCUGAAUGCUUGCAGAUAGGAUGCUUGCAUGCAGGUGGGCUGUGGGCUGUGAACUGAGGGCUUGCAACUGGCUGCUUUGGUGCUAGUGAGCCACUGGCAGUUGACCCUAUUUCCUGGAAUGUUUGCUCCCUUCUGCUGCUGUUACUGUUCCUGCCAGCUGCGCCCAUUCUUCAUUUUUGAUUUGAUUCCUUAGGGCUCCACUCAACUAGCUGAAACAUCUACAAUUUUUCAUUAAUUUCCAGUGAUACUCAUAAUCUCCCAACUGGUUGUCAUUUGUUUCAUCAGCAAUUCAGGGAAAUUAGACCAGAACAAUGCUGGAGCUGUGAAGAGUAUCCUGAGACAUGAUCUCUUCUGGCUACCUCUUACUGCAUAUCAAAGCACUUCAAAACUCACUGGCAUAAAUCGAAAAAUGCACCACCAUUUCUCAUGUUUCUGCAGGUUGAUUUGGCUCAUUGCGGUGGUGCACCUUGGGGUCUUAUGCACUUGCAGUUUGAUGGCAGUAGGACAGCGUCUCCCAAAGGCUCUGCUGGGUGGGAUAUCCAAGACGCUUUUCCUCCUUACCUGGCUGGUGCUUCAGUGAUGCUUGGCCUCUCUCCAGAGAAAGUCCAAGAUCAAGGUGCCAGCAGAUCCAGUGUCCAAUGAAGACUUACGCUUUGCUUCCAAGAUGGUACCUUCUUGCUGUGUCCUCAUAUUGAGCCCUUUGGAUGCUCCAGUACCCACCAGGGAAUGCGGAGGCAGGGCUGCUGAAGCCUGGGCCUGAACGUAGAAGAGAGUAACAGCACAGUAUGGGAAGUGCCUUAACAGAAGGAGAGCCGAGCACACAGGGCACAGCAAGCUGAGGAGGUGGGCAAUGUCCCUUCCUUUGAGUCUGUGGCCUUACCCAGCUGGUUCAUUUUGGACCCUGCAGUAGAGGCCAGCCUGCCUAUGCAACAUCAAAACUUGAGAUCACAUGCAACACUGAUUGUAAUUUGGAUAUCCUAGAGUAUUGAGCCCUUCUGGAGAUGGGUGGGGUGGAGAGCUCAUUCUAGUUUUGAACUCUACUUCUCGAAGUGCUUCCAUGUAUGUAUCAUCUCCAUGUCAUUGGCAUGUCAUUGCAGGCUGGCCUGCCUCCAUUUUCUCUAAUUGAAAAGAAACAAAGACUUGCAUGAUAUUUGAGACAUAAAAUCUGGGGUGAAUAUUGGGUGGGAAAAUCUGAUAUCAGGUUCUCCAACAAACUUGGAUCCAGAUGACCCCCACAAGGAGUCAGAUGCAACCUUGUAGCAUAUAGAAAAUGGCAGCAAGGUCCUUGUGUGGACCAUGCCAUCUAAACUAAGACAAGUCUUCAGAGGGGCUAAGUGACAUCUGUCUCCAAAGUUUCACAGCUAAUGUGUGGCUAAAUCUUGACUCCACCCUUUCAGGUUUUACCAUAAUCACAAAAAAAGGUUGAAAUAAGAAAAGGUAUCUCUGGGCAAUUGCCUCUUUCUGUUCCUUGCUUUACCUACUGAUGUUCUAGGCUCACCCUCUGGUCUGAAAUCCUCAUUGAACUGACAGAUCCCACAAGGCCUAAAUGGUUUUUGCACGGGGUUGAUGAGGCUCUCCCACUACCUGUCCUACUGUCUGAGUCACCUCCUGGGUAGGGUGCCCAGGGUCAUUCUGAUGCUGCCUGAUUUUAUUUCCAGCAACUUUUGAAACUUGGUAUCCAUGGCAGAAGCUUAAAUGUCAUGUUCCAGGUACUUUUAUUUCCAGAUUCCCCAGUGGCAUCAAGGAAAUCCACACCUCUGGACAGCUCCACUAAAGCUUAGUUCUCAUUGUCGAAUCUAGCUCCUGGGUCAUGGGAGGCAUUCAGGAAAUAUUUGAGUGUAAGAGUAAGUUGCUUUAUCUCUAGAAGUUCCUUCCAAGGGCUCUGAAGCAGGCUGUGGAGUUCUGCUGGCUGACAACAGUUCUUAGGUGGCUCCAAAACCUGUGGUCUACCUCCAUCCUUAGUGUCACUGCCAUUGUCCCACAAAUAUCAUUUGAGCCUAACCCCUGGAAUAAUGAUCAGUCUUUACAUAGAUACCCAUUGUGCUUUACAGUCAUAGUAAUUCUGAGUGGACCUUAAAUAAAAAGAAUUCCAUGUCAGGUCUCACCAGCCUAUGGGUUACAGAUGGCAUUACCUUUCAGCCCUGUACAGUGCCCCCUCUUUGAGUAUGGACCUAGACUCACAAUGAGUCCACUCCUGCUGUUCCUCUGCUUUUGCUGAGGCUGCUGCUGCUGCUGCUCUGCAGAGACUCGCCAGCUAUGGGGCCAGAGGCCCAUGAGUCUUCACAUCACCACCUUGCAUGGUGGCCAGAGUGUAGUUGGAAAGGGAUGCUUAGAUGGGAGGCCAAUGGGAGCUGCUCCAGGAUGCAAAUUCAAGUUACAGCUAUCAUAGUAAAGUCAAAAUCCCUUCUUUGAUUUAAUAACUGAGAUGCUGUCACUGGAUUAACCUCACCAAGCCUUGUUUUGUCUUCAUUUAGAGUGAUUUCUCUUGGAAGUCUCUUUGGAUCCUUCUGGAGAAGGCUUUUAGUGAGUCCACAGAUAGCUGGACCAGGCAUGUCCAGAAGUAAUCUGAUUCUCACAUUUGAGUUGGCCAGUGUUCCCAGCUGUAUCCCCAUUUUGUGUCUAUAUAAGUUACUGAAGCCCACAAGGAUAUUAGGUGGUUCCUGAUGGCUCCUUAGUUUACUUUAUGACUAUGCCCUGCGUGUGUGUGUGCGUGUGUGUGUGUGUGUGUGUGUGUCAGAAUGGGUGGAUUGUACACUUUACCUGUGAGGAUUCUUAAUUUACUUUGUGACUAUGCUGUGUGUGUGUGUGUGUGUGUGUGUGUGUGUGUAGAGUGUCAGAAUGGUUAGAUUGUAUUAUUUGCCUAUGAAGACUCCUUCUCUUCUGCUCUUGCUAUGGCUUCUCUUCCCCAUUGAUGGGCUGUAGUUUCCUGUCCUUUUGACUUUGGGCUUAGUCAUGUGACAUUUUUGCCAAGGGAAUGUGGGCAGAAGUGGCUGGGAGCCAGUCCCAAGCUAAGGCCUUGGGAACCAUGGCAAGCCUAUGCCAGCCCUCUUGGAACUCCUUCCCUUGGCCCUGAAGAAAGAAUAACCUGGACUGUACCUUUAGCCCACAUCCUAGGAUACAAACAUGGAGAAUAGUGAACUUGACUCAAAGGCUGAAGGACAGCUGAGCCCAGAUGAGGUCAAUUGAACUGCAGCCACCCGUAGAUCUGAGAGUGAAAUAAACAAGUAUAAGUCUCUAACGUUUGGGGUUUGUUAUGUAGCAUUAUGGUAGCAGAAACCUAAAUAUAAUGGACCAGUGACAGCACAGAAUGGUAAAAUGGAGUAAUGGCUGCUUAUAUCACAACCUUCAUCUCUGUUGAUGAAGACUAAAAUCAGAGUGGCAGUUACUGAGAGUUGGGAGUCAUUGAGUUGCAUCAUGGUUGUUUAGAAUCAUUGACAGUUUGAGCUCUAAGUGAUUACAGAGAUGAGCAACUCCAGGUUCCUCAGCUACAGGUAAAUAAACCA